GGUAGUGCAAUAAGGAAUUGUCGCCCCAGUCUUAUUUGCAUUCAUUUCAGUGGAUGUAUUGUGUUGAUUGACUAGUUUUUGCCUGAUCC
rfam:Brassica napus, WGS project CCCW01000000 data, contig: 5198